UCCGCUGGCUCCUCCAACUUGUGCGCGCCGCCUCGGUGGCGGCCGUUCUGGGCCCGCGGCGCGCUGGGCUGGGGCGGAGGGCGCCGCGCGAGCAGGUGCGGGGCUCACCGGCGCAGGUGAAAGCCCCGACAGGCCGCCCGGGUCUCUAAGCCUUUCAUCCUCGCGCGCGCCCCUCUUCCCUGCUUGGCGCCGCCCGGCAGGCGCGGGGAGGGGGCCCCUCGGAGGCUCGCUCCGGUCGGUCCCUUGCACGGGGAAAAGGCAUCUAUCUGCCCACCUGCUGGUUAUUCGCCAAGUGAUUCGAGAAACCAGAACCCCGGGGUGGGGGGUGGGGGGGGGAGGAGGAGGAGGAGAAAAAAAAAAAAAACACAACAACAACAACGGAGGAGGCGGCCACAGCGGCCACAGGUGCAGGUAGGAACUUGGCGUUCCCGCCCUCCAGGGGACGAGAUUGGAUCAGGUCGCGGACGUGGCGCCCGCCUUGGGGUGUCUGAUUGGAGGGACGCUGCGCGGCGCCGCUCGCCCGUCCGACUCCUCCAAGAAGAAGAAACGCUGGAGACCGCAGGCGGGGAGACGGAAGCUGUAGGAAUAAAUGAAUGAUCUAGAGGACACGACAUCUUGAAACAAGGAAGACUCCACAGCACAUCCUGACUCAGGAAAUAAAAAAGGUAAUUCAACUUUAUUGUUUGUUAGAAAAUCAUUGAUGUAAAUAAAAAUCAUGUGUUACCAUCCACGAUAAUGUUCUCUGGCUGGUCACCUGUUUCCAGGUCAGGGCUGGGGUAAACCAGCUCCCCUAAAAGGUGACCUGCUAUCGGCUGUUGUUAAUUUCUCUUUUCAAGGGGUUGGUUUGGUUAUGCUCCAUUUGCCAGGUUACAUUUUCUCUUUUGUGGUUUGUCUGUGGGUCAGCUCAUUACGUCACACAUACAGGUAGAAGGUGAAUAUGCGAUGGAAGGGUAACAUGACGCAGGAGGUAAGUCUUUUGGUUUCCCCAUCUGCAUCGAGGCCAAUGUCAAACUUACAUAGUUAGAAAGAAACAGCUAAGAAAC
rnacentral:lncRNA from 1 species